rnacentral:rRNA from 1 species
GAUGAACGCUGGCGGCGUGCCUAAUACAUGCAAGUCGAGCGAACAGACGAGGAGCUUGCUCCUUUGACGUUAGCGGCGGACGGGUGAGUAACACGUGGGUAACCUACCUAUAAGACUGGUGUAACUUCGGGAAACCGGAGCUAAUACCGGAUAAUAUUUUGAACUGCAUGGUUCGAUAGUUAAAGAUGGUUUUGCUAUCACUUAUAGAUGGACCUGCGCCGUAUUAGCUAGUUGGUAAGGUACCGGCUUACCAAGGCAACGAUACGUAGCCGAGCUGAGAGGGUGGUCGCACACGCUAGAAGUGAGACACAGUACUAGAUCCAACUGGAGGCAGCAGAAGGGACUGAAGCGCCAUGGGCGAAAACCGUACAGCGCCAAGACGCGUGAGGCAUGAGCGUCUACGGUUGGUAAAAGUCCGUUAUUAGGGAAGAAGAAGAGUAUAGGGAACUGUACACGGUUUGACGGUAGCAGAUCAGAAAGCAACGGCUAACUACGUG